rnacentral:rRNA from 1 species
AAGGGCACCACAAGAACGCGUGGAGCAUGUGGCUUAAUUUGACUCAACGCGGGGAAACUUACCGGGUCCGGACACACUGAGGAUUGACAGGUGCUGGUUUUAAGCUAAAAAGCUUCGGUUUAUUAGCAUAAAGCCAUAAAUAUGCUAGUCCUUUCAUGAUUGUGUGAUAGGUGGUGCAUGGCCGUUCUUAGUUCGUGGAGUGAUCUGUCUGCUUAAUUGCGUUUCAGAUUAUAGGUUCUUAAAGGCUUUUGUGUCUCUUUUUUUUUUUNGUGCGUGUGCCUUCGGGUACGUGCGCGAAAAAUUUAAGCGCACAGCCAAUGAACCUUGAAGGUAACGAACGUGACCGCAACCCCUUGUUGCCUUCCUUCCAUCUUUUGAUGGACUGCUGCCUCGUGAUUUUUGUUUUUGGUUCUGUUUCAUUUUUUUUUCGGAAAAAGUGAGACAGUUGCUGAAGCAUGAUCAUGAGGAUUUGCAGAGUGGAGUUGCUUUAACUAGGGGGACCGCCGACCUUUUUAAAACGGAGGAAGGUUGCGGCAAUAACAGGUCUGUGAUGCCCUUAGAUGUUCCGGGCUGCACACGUGCUACAAUGAUUGUUGCAGUGAGCAUCUUACAAGUUCGCUUUCUGAUUUUUGCUUUCGGGCAAAAAUUGGGUUGCGACACACCUACUUCGAAAGUAAGUAGGUAAUCAAUUCGAAGUAACAGUUUUCCUUUGCACAUUAAUCGCUUUGCAGCAGAUUUUUUGUGUGUGCUUUCGGGCACAUAUGGAGAAAAUGUUGCAAAGUGUGCUCCAUUUGUUUCAUGGUGGGGACAGACCAUUGCAAUUGUUGGUCUCGGUCUUAACUAGGAAUGCCUUGUACGGGUCAUGGUUCAACAGACCACCCGGAAUAUGUCCCUGCCCUUUGUACACACCGCCCGUCGCUCUUACCGAUGGACUUCUCUGUGAGUUUGGGGGACUGGCUUCUUUUAGCUAUGGAAACUUAAACGAACAGUGUGGUCUAAAGGAAAGAGAAGUCGAACAAGGCA